rnacentral:rRNA from 1 species
GGGACACGUGGUAUCCUGUCUGAAUAUGGGGGGACCAUCCUCCAAGGCUAAAUACUCCUGACUGACCGAUAGUGAACCAGUACCGUGAGGGAAAGGCGAAAAGAACCCCGGCGAGGGGAGUGAAAAAGAACCUGAAACCGUGUACGUACAAGCAGUGGGAGCACGCUUAGGCGUGUGACUGCGUACCUUUUGUAUAAUGGGUCAGCGACUUAUAUUCUGUAGCAAGGUUAACCGAAUAGGGGAGCCGAAGGGAAACCGAGUCUUAACUGGGCGUUAAGUUGCAGGGUAUAGACCCGAAACCCGGUGAUCUAGCCAUGGGCAGGUUGAAGGUUGGGUAACACUAACUGGAGGACCGAACCGACUAAUGUUGAAAAAUUAGCGGAUGACUUGUGGCUGGGGGUGAAAGGCCAAUCAAACCGGGAGAUAGCUGGUUCUCCCCGAAAGCUAUUUAGGUAGCGCCUCGUGAAUUCAUCUCCGGGGGUAGAGCACUGUUUCGGCAAGGGGGUCAUCCCGACUUACCAACCCGAUGCAAACUGCGAAUACCGGAGAAUGUUAUCACGGGAGACACACGGCGGGUGCUAACGUCCGUCGUGAAGAGGGAAACAACCCAGACCGCCAGCUAAGGUCCCAAAGUCAUGGUUAAGUGGGAAACGAUGUGGGAAGGCCCAGACAGCCAGGAUGUUGGCUUAGAAGCAGCCAUCAUUUAAAGAAAGCGUAAUAGCUCACUGGUCGAGUCGGCCUGCGCGGAAGAUGUAACGGGGCUAAACCAUGCACCGAAGCUGCGGCAGCGACACUAUGUGUUGUUGGGUAGGGGAGCGUUCUGUAAGCCUGUGAAGGUGUGCUGUGAGGCAUGCUGGAGGUAUCAGAAGUGCGAAUGCUGACAUAAGUAACGAUAAAGCGGGUGAAAAGCCCGCUCGCCGGAAGACCAAGGGUUCCUGUCCAACGUUAAUCGGGGCAGGGUGAGUCGACCCCUAAGGCGAGGCCGAAAGGCGUAGUCGAUGGGAAACAGGUUAAUAUUCCUGUACUUGGUGUUACUGCGAAGGGGGGACGGAGAAGGCUAUGUUGGCCGGGCGACGGUUGUCCCGGUUUAAGCGUGUAGGCUGGUUUUCCAGGCAAAUCCGGAAAAUCAAGGCUGAGGCGUGAUGACGAGGCACUACGGUGCUGAAGCAACAAAUGCCCUGCUUCCAGGAAAAGCCUCUAAGCAUCAGGUAACAUCAAAUCGUACCCCAAACCGACACAGGUGGUCAGGUAGAGAAUACCAAGGCGCUUGAGAGAACUCGGGUGAAGGAACUAGGCAAAAUGGUGCCGUAACUUCGGGAGAAGGCACGCUGAUAUGUAGGUGAAGUCCCUCGCGGAUGGAGCUGAAAUCAGUCGAAGAUACCAGCUGGCUGCAACUGUUUAUUAAAAACACAGCACUGUGCAAACACGAAAGUGGACGUAUACGGUGUGACGCCUGCCCGGUGCCGGAAGGUUAAUUGAUGGGGUUAGCCGCAA